rnacentral:rRNA from 1 species
GACGAACGCUGGCGGCGUGCUUAACACAUGCAAGUCGAACGGAAAGGCCCUGCUUUUGUGGGGUGCUCGAGUGGCGAACGGGUGAGUAACACGUGAGUAACCUGCCCUUGACUUUGGGAUAACUUCAGGAAACUGGGGCUAAUACCGGAUAGGAGCUCCUGCUGCAUGGUGGGGGUUGGAAAGUUUCGGCGGUUGGGGAUGGACUCGCGGCUUAUCAGCUUGUUGGUGGGGUAGUGGCUUACCAAGGCUUUGACGGGUAGCCGGCCUGAGAGGGUGACCGGCCACAUUGGGACUGAGAUACGGCCCCGACUCCUUCGGGAGGCAGCAGUGGGGUAUAUUGCACAAUUGGCGGAAGCCUUAUGCCGCAACGCCGCGUGCGUGAUGUUGGCCUUCGGGUUGUAAUCCGCUUUCGCCUGUGACGAAGCGUGAUUGACGGUAAUGGGUAAAGAAGCACCGGCUAACUACGUG